rnacentral:lncRNA from 1 species
AAGCCAUUUAUCCCCUUCAUUCUGAGCAGGUAAUUAUUUGGAUACAUUCCACAAAUAGGUUAUAUGCAGAGGAACCCCCAAAUGCCCCAGUACACUUCCCCUCAGCCCGGCUCGGCCUUAUCUCCACGUCAGCCUUCUGGAGGACAGAUGCACUCGGGCAUGGGCUCCUACCAGCAGAACUCCAUGGGGAGCUAUGGACCCCAGGGGAGUCAGUAUGGCCCACAAGGAGGCUAUCCUAGGCAGCCUAACUAUAACGCCUUGCCCAACGCCAACUACCCCAGUGCAGGCAUGGCUGGAAGUAUGAACCCGCUGGGUGCUGGAGGUCAAAUGCACGGGCAGCCUGGAAUCCCACCCUACGGCACACUCCCUCCAGGAAGAAUGACUCAUGCGUCUAUGGGCAACAGGCCUUAUGGCCCUAAUAUGGCCAACAUGCCACCUCAGGUUGGGUCAGGGAUGUGUCCUCCACCAGGGGGGAUGAACCGGAAAACUCAAGAAUCUGCUGUUGCCAUGCAUGUUGCUGCCAACUCUAUCCAAAACAGGCCACCAGGCUACCCAAAUAUGAAUCAAGGAGGCAUCAUGGGAACUGGACCUCCCUAUGGGCAGGGGAUUAAUAGUAUGGCUGGCAUGAUCAACCCUCAGGGACCCCCAUAUCCUAUGGGUGGAACCAUGGCCAACAAUUCAGCAGGGAUGGCAGCCAGCCCAGAGAUGAUGGGCCUUGGGGAUGUUAAGUUAACUCCCGCCAC